UACGUAGGGGGCAAGCGUUGUCCGGAAUCAUUGGGCGUAAAGAGCGUGUAGGCGGCCCGGUAAGUCCGCUGUGAAAGUCCAGGGCUCAACCCUGGGAUGCCGGUGGAUACUGUCGGGCUCGAGUCCGGAAGAGGAGUGUGGAAUUCCUGGUGUAGCGGUGAAAUGCGCAGAUAUCAGGAGGAACACCAAUGGCGAAGGCAGCACUCUGGGACGUGACUGACGGCUGAGACGCGAAAGCUAGGGGAGCAAACGGG
rnacentral:rRNA from 1 species